UACAUGUGGGGCAAGCGUUGUUCGGAAUUACUGGGCAUAAAGGGUGCGUAGGUGGUUUGUUAAGUCAGGGGUGAAAUCCCGCGGCCCAACCGUGGAACUGCCUUUGAUACUGGCGAACUUGAGUGCGUGAGGGGUAGGGGGAACGAGCAGUGUAGCGGUGAAAUGCGUAGAUAUUGCUCGGAAGGCCAGAGCCGAAGGGGCCCUACUGGUGCGUAACUGACACUGAGGCACGAAAGCGUGGGGAGCGAACAGG
rnacentral:rRNA from 1 species